AUGGCACCUGGAUCACCUGCGGGAUCGGCUCCGGGAUCUCCCCGGCUGGAGGGGCCGUCCCGGGGUGCCAGUCCUGCCGGGCACCGCCCCGGCAGCGCUGCCGGCCCGACGCGGCUGCCGCUGGACCCGGCCUUCCCCUGCUCGGCGUGGGGCGCGGUGAAGAUCGCCCGCACGAUGGUGGCGCUGGCCGCCUUCAUCUGCUUCCUGACCGCGGGCGAGCAGCUGUUCUACGCGGCGUAUGCCGGCCUGGACACGGUGAUCAUCGUCUUCUUUCUGCUGCUCUACCUGCUGAGGCUCGACGCGCGGAUGCGGUGCCUCUACUGGCCGCUGGUUGUGAGUACCCGUGGGCUCCGAGUACCGGGGUGCUCUGGCUGUGAGUACCGAUGUCCCCUGGCCGUGAGCAUUGAUGGACUCGGGCCGAUAUUUUCAUGUCGGGGACUUCAGUGAUGUUUCUCAUCCCUGUGGGCUUGACUGCAGUAAAAAUCAAGACCAACAAGUGGAUAAUGGAUGGAGGAGUGUUGAGUCUUAUAUUGGUUGCUCUCUGCCUUGUGGGAGGUGGGGAAGCCCAAGAGGAGAGCGACACUCUCCGUUGGAGGGAGAGUGUGUUGUAACAAUCCCACAAAGCAAGUUCUCCCAUCAAUUUAACUGUUUUCCCCGUUACUUAGAAAGUUAGUUGUUCUCCCCUCUCCCAUUGGCCAAAAGUUAGGCAGUGUUCCCCCAUUGGUCCAAAGUUUCUGUCCCACAGCCAUUGGUUCAAAAGUUAGUUCACCCUGUUCUCGGACAGAGAUUGGUUCAUUCUUGAUCCUUCCCCUGAUUGGCCGUUUCACAAUCCCCUCGGUGAUUGGAGAGUUCCCCAACCUCGCCCCCUGAUUGGUGAACUUUUCAAUCCUCUCCCUGAUUGGAUAACUUCUCAAUCCGCCCUGUGAUUGGCCCUAAAAGAAAACCACACCCCUUUCCAACCCCAUAAAAGCCCACUGUUUUAGACUCUCGGGGUCUUCGGGCUUCGGAUGUCGCCGGUUCCUGCCUCCGAAUAAAGAAGCUCCGGAGAUCUCCUGGCUCCCGCCUCUCCUUUCUGCGCCGCCUGGGCUCUGAACCUGUAGGCAAAGCUGCUUGCCAGCUCACCAGCUCCCUCUCCCUCUGCUGGCACAGAGCUGCUGGGGUUGCCUAGGCGACCCUCUCACAAAAGAGCUAAAUCACUGCUGCGAGCCUGUGCCUCUGAGGCUGAGAGUGUCUUUUUAAAGACAACUUGCCACAGAAGGACGCGGCCCGCCGAAGACUCCACAGAGUGGAGUCCUCGGGUGGUCAGUGGGCUUCGGCCACACACCCUCUAGCCGCGUCAAGUGGCGCCCGAACAGGGACCGGCUCCGGCCACCCUGCGGCAAGUUGUGUCCAGCUGGUUUCGGCCACUGGUUCGUACAACCUCGGGUUGCCACUUCCUCGAAGGGACACCUCUGCGUUCUAGCAGAGGCUACCGGAGAGGCACCGACCGGGACCUGCCAGCACCAGCAGACGGCAGCCGAUCGGUCCAGGCGGUCACCACCCACCGAGCUUUUGUUGACCAACGCCGUCGGGU